rnacentral:rRNA from 1 species
AUACGUAGGUGGCAAGCGUUGUCCGGAAUUAUUGGGCGUAAAGCGCGCGCAGGUGGUUCCUUAAGUCUGAUGUGAAAGCCCCCGGCUCAACCGGGGAGGGUCAUUGGAAACUGGGGAACUUGAGUGCAGAAGAGGAUAGUGGAAUUCCAAGUGUAGCGGUGAAAUGCGUAGAGAUUUGGAGGAACACCAGUGGCGAAGGCGCUUGUUUGGUCUGUAACCGCCGCGGAGGCGAAAACGGUGGGGGAAAAAGCGGGAUUAGACCCCGGGGUUCCCCACGCCAAAAAGGAUGGGUGCUAGGUGGUGGGGAAUAUAUCCUCAGUGCCGCAGCUAACGCGAUAAGAACCCCGCCUGGGGAGUACGGUCGCAAGGCUGAAACUCAAAUGAAUUGACGGGG